AAAAAAUCUGUUCCCACACCGGAUAUAUAUGUACAAUAAAUAUAAUAAUGAUCCCAAAGCACACCAAAGUUUGCACAUAAAAAAAAGUUUAUUCAUGCAUUGAAAAAAUACAUCAAUUAAUAAUGACAGAAAGAAAGUGCAUAAAGUAGUGCAUACCCAAUCUAUAAUACCAAUACCACAAUAGUAAUAAAGUGGACUAACAGACAAGUAUUUGUAACCAGACGAGUUGGACGCACAGGAACAGAGGGAUUUAGGGCCCUGCUCAAUGAGCUUGCAUGCUAGAUGGAGUUGUAUUAUGUGACACAAAAGGUAAGAGUAGGGUAAUUGAGAGUGUUUAGGGCCCAUUUCACGACCCUAUUUAAUACAGAUACCUGGUUUUAGCCGCACAGCUGUAGUUACUGUGUGUAAUUAUUGUGACCAUAUGCAACGCAACGUGCACACUCAUGUUGUUGGCUGUUUUUCUAGAAAACUCUGUCCCCAAAAUACCAUCAUAGCAGGAUAUGUGACUAGUUUUAUAUAAUUUCUGCUUUACCAUAUGCCGUUCAUAGUAAAUUUUAUAUUAUUAAAUAUUUACCUUGUACAUCUGCUGUUUAUAGUACAUUUUAUAAUAUUCCAUGUAUUAUUUCCUUGUGCACUAAUUUUUGGGACUCUGAGGUAACAUGAGAGAUACUGUGUAAUGCCUAGAAAAAUUUACAUUGUUUUAUGAUAUUCCUGUAAAAAAAAAAAAAAAAUGAUGAAAACAUUUUUGUUGUAUGUAUGUGCUAUGCAUCCCAUAUUCGAGAUAAAUGCUAUGUUGAUUUUUUUUAAUACAGAUCUUGGUAGUGAAACAGUUGAUACAUUUAAUAAAUACAUAAAUCUGUGUUUGUGGCUUGCAAGUGGUCUAUUUAGAUGAUACAUGACCUCUUUUUCCAAAAAAACCCAAAUAUAUUUGAAUGUUAAUGUGACUUGGAUCAAGUGAUUGUUACAUAUAUCCAG